GACGAACGCUGGCGGCGUGCCUAAUACAUGCAAGUAGAACGCAGUUGCGAACGGGUGAGUAACGCGUAGGUAACUUCCUCAUAGCGGGGGAUAAAUAUCGGGAACGAUAGCUAAUAACCCAUACUGUGAGCUGGACCUGAGUUGUAUUAGCUAGUUGGUGGGGUCAAGGCUCACCAAGGCCACGAUACAUAGCCGACCUGAGAGGGUGAUCGGGCACACUGGGACUGGGACACGGCCCAGGCUUCUUAGGGAGGGAGCAGUAGGGAAUCUUCGGAAAUGGACGGCAAUCUGACCGAACAACGCCGCGUGAGUGAAGAAGGUUUUCGGAUCGUAAAGCUAUGUUGUUAGAGAAGCGGUAACUACCCAGAAAGCGACGGCUAACUACGUGCCAGCAGCCGCGGUAAUAC
rnacentral:rRNA from 1 species